UGGGGAAUCUUGCGCAAUGGGGGAAACCCUGACGCAGCGACGCCGUGUGCGGGAUGAAGGCCUUCGGGUUGUAAACCGCUUUCAGCAGGGACGAGGCCUUAUGGUGACGGUACCUGCAGAAGAAGCUCCGGCUAAAUACGUGCCAGCAGCCGCGGUAAUACGUAUGGAGCAAGCGUUAUCCGGAUUCAUUGGGCGUAAAGCGCUCGUAGGCGGUCUGUUAGGUCGGCAAGUUAAAUCCGGGGGCUCAACCCCCGUCCGCUUCCGAUACCGGCAGACUUGAGUUUGGUAGGGGAAGGUGGAAUUCCUAGUGUAGCGGUGGAAUGCGCAGAUAUUAGGAAGAAAACCGGUGGCGAAGGCGGCCUUCUGGGCCAUAACUGACGCUGAGGAGCGAAAGCUAGGGGAGCGAACAGG
rnacentral:rRNA from 1 species